AGAUGUUAGUAUGAAAUCCCAUUGGAGCCCCCAGGAAGCCAGGGCAACUUCGGUAGAAGCUGUGCUGAAGGAAUGAAAGGCUGCAGAGGAAACAAUAUCAUCAUCAGUUCUGAGAUUUGAAGAACUCAAAAUAUGAAAUUGCCAAACUACUCACUGCAGUAUAUGACCGGUCACAUAAAUCAGACUCUUUACAAGCUAAUUGGAGGAUAACUAAUGUGAAGCCAUUAAAAAAAAAGAUUCUAGGGGAAAUCCUGCAAUUACAGGACAAUACAUCUAACUCCAGUAGCAGCCGCAGCAGCUGCGAGUGCAGGGCGCUCCACCCCGCCCAGGACAUCCUCCUGCACCCAGGCCAGCAGGGUGACCCAAAACCAGGAGUACCACCAGAGGCAGCCUCUGGGGAUCCUGCAAAGGCCGGUCCACAUCCUGGAGCAUUGGGUGCAUGAAGACCUGCAGCUGCGGCAGAACUGGCCGGAGCUGUUUGCCCAGGGCUGUGCCAUCUGCGACCACCUG